rnacentral:rRNA from 1 species
GACGAACGCUGGCGGCGUGCUUAACACAUGCAAGUCGAACGGAAAGGCCCUGCUUUUGUGGGGUGCUCGAGUGGCGAACGGGUGAGUAACACGUGAGUAACCUGCCCUUGACUUUGGGAUAACUUCAGGAAACUGGGGCUAAUACCGGAUAGGAGCUCCUGCUGCAUGGUGGGGGUUGGAAAGUUUCGGCGGUUGGGGAUGGACUCGCGGCUUAUCAGCUUGUUGGUGGGGUAGUGGCUUACCAAGGCUUUGACGGGUAGCCGGCCUGAGAGGGUGACCGGCCACAUUGGGACUGAGAUACGGCCCAGACUCCUACGGGAGGCAGCAGUGGGGAAUAUUGCACAAUGGGCGGAAGUCUGAUGCAGCAACGCCGCGUGCGGGAUGACGGCCUUCGGGUUGUAAACCACUUUCGCCUGUGACGAAGCGUGAGUGACGGUAAUGGGUAAAGAAGCACCGGCUAACUACGUG